CGGCACACCGCUCCCCGCCGCCUUCCCGCCUUCCCCCGCCCCGCCCCCGGAUGUGGCGGUGCGGCCGUUCCGGCCCGUUGUCACUGACGCUUCGCGGUCGCUGGGGUUGCCGCUGCGGAGUCGAGCGGGGAGCCCGGGCGGCGGAAAUCCUCAGAAAACAGUUAUAGGAACUGUAAUGCUGGUGUGCUGUGCUAAAACUUUUCCAUAUAAAGAACGAUUGUAAAGAAAAAAGAAAAAAAAAACUCAUGAAAAACUGCAGAGUAAGGAAUAAAGCAAGAAUUUAAUACAGGACCGUUGAAAAAAGAGUUACUUGAACAUUACGCAUGGUCUCUUAAAACCAAAUAUGAGAAGAAAAUACAUUGACUGAAUUUAUGUUGAAGUAUUCGUGUAAAUUGUACACCAAUUUCUACGGAAAUUGAGUUGCUAUACUGUACGUGUGUUAAAAGUUCUAACCACGUGGUGAAAUGAGACCUGUUCAGAAGAAGUUUGUUACUGUUCUGAAGCAGAAGAUCAAUACAUUUAGGAAAAAUAAAAAGACUCAGGAACAAGCUGUGGACACUGCUUCUCUGGAGAUAUUCAAGACCUGUCUAGGCGCCUACCUGUGGAGCCUGCUGUAG
rnacentral:lncRNA from 1 species